rnacentral:rRNA from 1 species
UAAUACAGAGGGUGCGAGCGUUGUCCGGAAUCACUGGGCGUAAAGGGCGCGUAGGUGGCGGCAUAAGGCCGCGGUGAAAGUCUGGGGCUCAACCCCAGAUCGGCCGCGGCGACUGUGUCGCUUGGGUACCGUAGAGGCAGAUGGAAUUCCGGGUGUAGCGGUGGAAUGCGUAGAGAUCCGGAAGAACACCAGUGGCGAAGGCGGUCUGCUGGGCGGUGGGACCGAAAGGUCUCUUCAACCGACACUGAGGCGCGACAGCGUGGGGAGCAAACAGGAUUAGAUACCCUGGUAGUCCACGCCGUAAACGAUGGGCACUAGGUGCUCCGGGGAGCGACCCUUGGAGUACCGGCGCUAACGCAUGAAGUGCCCCGCCUGGGGAGUACGGCCGCAAGGCUG